UGUGUGUGUGUGUGUGUGUGUGUGUGUGUGUUCCUCUUCCUCCAUAUGUUCUUCGAGAUCCCCUAAUUCUCUUCCUCGAAACCAAAUUGUGUAUCUAGGAUUGAUACUCGGUCAGUGUUUCAUCUUAUUCCCCUCGGUCCGCCAUCCCCAUUUCUCCUGUCGGAUGUUGAUUGGUGAGCCAUGGAAGUUUUCUGCUGUGACUUUGGUUGAGGUGGGUUGCUAUUGUGCUUUGGCGUCGUGGAUUUAAUCUUCCCCCCUGCCUUUUCCGCUUUGAUUUUGUCCCCGCUCUCAUUUCCAGAGUUGUUUGCCUACUGCCUAUUGUAUUGCAGGUGUUGAUCUGAUGUUUCCUUCGGGCAAACACAACUUCUAUUAGGUGUUCAGGUACUUUAUUCAUGCCCCCUAAUUUAUUUUACUUCGGUUUGAAGCUCGCCCUAUGUUGAUGGUUGGAGUUGGUGGUGCGUUCAUCAGUCUGCUUGCUGCAUCUAUACUAGAUUCAGGUCGUGGAAGUUUUGGUUCUCAACUUUGAACAAUUCGUGUCUAUAGUGCAUUGGUGCAUUGGUGAUUCACUAUCUUUUUUAUGUGCCAGUUCGUUCCUGCCAUAGGUGUUCUCUUUGAUGCCUCCUGCUCUUUGUAGCCAUGAGAGCGAUACUACUAAAAUGUUGACAACUCCUUACGUUAUCAAUUUCCAAUUGCUUUAAUUCUAAGCACAACAGAGAAACAUGCUUGGAAUCAUUGCUUAUACCUAAACCCUCUUUAAUGUGGUGUUUUACUCAUGAAAGAUUUGUGCCAUUUGCAUAUAGUUGUAAUUACAUACUUGCUUGAACUUUGAAUUGGACCUUUCAUCAACCUAUCUUAUGGAACACGAACAGGAGACUUUCCAAAAGCAUAGAUGAUUGUUUCCUUCCUUCACAUGGGCAUGUACCAACCCCAUGUUUGUGCACCUAGAAGAACCGGAAAUCCUCAUUUUGUACCUUCGUGUGGCGGCUGUUCAGUGAGUGACCGACCUGGAUUCCAAUCGAUGCUGGAGCUAUGACCCCAUGGCGACGGUACUGGUUUCUGAGCGAUGCGAUGGACAACUCCUCGCCGAGAUACGACAUGAGGUCUACUCGGUUGCCAUGUCAGUUGCAUGGCGCGAUGGGCAGUGCCAUGGCGGUGAACAAGCAUAUGUCUAUUGGAGUUAUAUCUUCAAGAUUAAUUGAGAGGUUAGUCGACCAUUGGUAGCAGUAGAUGAGGCAUCUGCCAAUAAUUGUAGGUCUGUUCCAAUUGCCGGUUUAUUUCUUUCCCUUUCACGCACGACCAUUUAAUCACAACCUUGCCGCUGAUCUUUGCCCAAUGUCCUCACUAACUCUCUAAUUCGUUCCAAUCCUCCCCCCUUCUUACAUCAUCUCUUCCCCCAAUUCUUUAUGCCUUUUUAGAAUAUGUUUAUUCACACUGUUCUUUAUGCUCAGAAACAAUGCUGGUUCGUUCUGCUGGGUUACCUCAUUCUGCUAGAUUAGAAGGUUUAGGCAUUACCCCAUUUGGAAGGUGAUGCACCGAUUUCUAUACUUUAUCCCUUGCAACUGUACUGUAUUACUCUUUGGCCAAGUGAAAAGUGCAAUCAAAAUACUACUUAGGAUUCAAAUAAAAUAUUCAUAGAGGUCACAUGUUGUCAAGUAGAUAUUCAAAGCCUCUGUUACUGCAAUUUUAGGCUUUCCUUCACUAAAAGCAGGUGAAGGGAAAUACAAAGCCAGAUUACAAUCUGGAAAGCAGGUGAGGGGAAAUACAAAUCUCUCC
rnacentral:lncRNA from 1 species